AUUGAACGCUGGCGGCAUGCCUUACACAUGCAAGUCGAACGGUAACAGGUCUUCGGAUGCUGACGAGUGGCGAACGGGUGAGUAAUACAUCGGAACGUGCCUAGUAGUGGGGGAUAACUACUCGAAAGAGUGGCUAAUACCGCAUGAGAUCUACGGAUGAAAGCAGGGGAUCGCAAGACCUUGUGCUACUAGAGCGGCCGAUGGCAGAUUAGGUAGUUGGUGGGAUAAAAGCUUACCAAGCCGACGAUCUGUAGCUGGUCUGAGAGGACGAUCAGCCACACUGGGAAUGGGAACAGGCCCAGACUCCUACGGGAGGCAGCAGUGGGGAAUUUUGGGCAAUGGGCGAAAGCCUGAUCCAGCAAUGCCGCGUGCAGGAUGAAGGCCUUCGGGUUGUAAACUGCUUUUGUACGGAACGAAAAGCCCCGGGUUAAUACCCUGGGGUCAUGACGGUACCGUAAGAAUAAGCACCGGCUAACUACGUGCCAGCCGCCGCCGUAA
rnacentral:rRNA from 1 species